CUCACAUAGGGCUUUCAGUUUUCGGCUCCGAGACUUGUCAAUGGCUUCUUCUUCUAAAUCUUUGUUUCUUCUUUUCGUUUUUGCCUUGGUUCUUGUUCUCUUCAUCUCAUUUCAAGUUUGUGCUGGAGAAAGCAGCGCGGUGGCCGAUUAUUCGAACCAUGAUCUCGAUCCUGGAAAGUGUUAUGAUUACUGCUCGAGAGACUAUUCCUAUACUCCUAAGUAAAAGAGAACAUCGCGCUUGUCUACAUGAAAAAUGAAAAUAAAAUAAUUUACGUCAAGUAUGUUGCACUAAGUCAUUCAUGUUGAUGUCCAAGAGACUAUUCCUAUACUCCUAAGUAAAAGAGAACAUCUCGCUUGUUUGUAUGAAAAAUGAAAAUAAAAUAAUUUACGUCGAGUAUGUUGCAGUAA